UACGAAGGGGGCUAGCGUUGUUCGGAAUUACUGGGCGUAAAGCGCGCGCAGGCGGCUAUCCAAGUCAGUGGUGAAAGCCCGGAGCUCAACUCCGGAACUGCCAUUGAAACUGUUUAGCUUGAGGAUGAGAGAGGUGAGUGGAAUUCCCAGUGUAGAGGUGAAAUUCGUAGAUAUUCGGAAGAACACCAGUGGCGAAGGCGACUCGCUGGACAAGUAUUGACGCUGAGGUGCGAAAGCGUGGGGAGCAAACAGGG
rnacentral:rRNA from 1 species